rnacentral:piRNA from 1 species
GUGGAACCCAGUCAGACGACGGGC